UGUAGACCCCUUGAGGGCAGGGAAGAUCUCAUUUUAGCCUUUUGAUCCCCAGAGCCUAGAAUAUUUCCUGACACAUAGUAAGCACUGAAUAAUUGUCUGCUUGCUUCUUUUCCUGAAGUCUGGCAUUCUUUUUGCGCCAUUAUGGAGACACCAAAGUGAAGGGAAGAGUUUUCAUCUGCUUGGCAGCCUGCCCCAAGGGACAUCUGGGAAAGACUCCAAGGAGCAGAUGGUGCCAUGUCCACCACUCAGAUGCACUGAAGAGAUUCUUUUCUUAAUGACAGAAAGAAGAAUGUCUCCUUUCCAAAGCUCUUGCAUCAACUCUGGAUCUUAGGCAGAAAGAGAAUAGACAGAAAUUUUGAGACAUCAGACCUUAAGGGAACCAUUCCAUGGAGGAAUUCAUAUAUUGUAUUCUUGAACUAAGCACUCUGG
rnacentral:lncRNA from 1 species